rnacentral:tRNA from 1 species
UCCAUUAUAGUCUAGUUGGUUAGGAUACUUGUCUCUCACCCUAGAGACUGGGGUUCAAGUCCUGGAAAUGGAA